rnacentral:rRNA from 1 species
GAUGAACGCUAGCUACAGGCUUAACACAUGCAAGUCGAGGGGCAGCACAGUGUAGCAAUACAUGGGUGGCGACCGGCGCACGGGUGCGUAACGCGUAUCCAACCUUCCCGUUACUCAGGGAUAGCCUUCCGAAAGGGAGAUUAAUACCUGAUGGUGUUCAAAUUCCGCAUGUUAUUUGAACUAAAGAUUUAUCGGUAACGGAUGGGGAUGCGUGACAUUAGGUAGAUGGCGGGGUAACGGCCCACCAUGCCUACGAUGUCUAGGGGUUCUGAGAGGAAGGUCCCCCACACUGGAACUGAGACACGGUCCAGACUCCUACGGGAGGCAGCAGUGAGGAAUAUUGGUCAAUGGUCGGAAGACUGAACCAGCCAAGUAGCGUGAAGGAUGAAGGUUCUAUGGAUUGUAAACUUCUUUUAUACGGGAAUAAAACCUCCUACGUGUAGGAGCUUGUAUGUACCGUAUGAAUAAGCAUCGGCUAAACUCCGUGCCAGCAGCC